rnacentral:rRNA from 1 species
AACGUAGGAGGCAAGCGUUAUCCGGAGUUACUGGGCGUAAAGCGUGCGUAGGUGGUUCGGUAAGUCGGAUGUGAAAUCUCCAGGCUCAACCUGGAGGGGUCAUUCGAUACUGCCGUGACUAGAGUUCGGUAGGGGAGUGUGGAAUUCCUGGUGGAGCGGUGAAAUGCGCAGAUAUCAGGAGGAACACCAAUUGCGAAGGCAGCUCGCUGGGACGUUACUGACGCUGAGACGCGAAAGCGUGGGGAGCAAACAGG